rnacentral:lncRNA from 1 species
UAUACUUUAAUCCUUCAAUUUUGAUACAAAACAUAACAUACCUUUCAGUGAUAUGUAUAAUAAAUAAUGUAAACAAUAGCAUUUAACAAGUACAACAUAAUAUAAAAUAUGUAAAUAAUCAAUGAGUUAUAAUAAAACCCAAUAUAGCAGAACUUUACAACCAAAUCAAAUUUUGUCUGUAGAUGAUAAAACAAAACCAUUACAGUAUAGUCUAAUAGAAUAGUUGAUAUGUGUUGUACUACAUCACACUUCCUAACUUUUUUUCACUAUAGGAAUGUAUUUCUACCAAGCUAUAAUCAAUUACAUAAAGCCUAAUAUAGCAGAAUUUUACAACCACUACACAUUUUGUCUGUUGAUGAUAAAAUAAAAAGAUUAUAGUCAAAUAGAAUAAUUGAUAUGUGUUGAACUACCUCACACUUCCCCAACUAUUUUCACUUUAUGAAUGUAUAUCCACCAAGCUAUCCAAUGAUAUCAAGUUUUUUUCUUUACUAUCAAAUUUAAUGCAUAAAAAUAUUUCAACAUUCUAUAAACAUAACUAUACAUAUUUUAUAUACAAGUCCAUGUAAGGAAUAAUCUUUGAAUAUAUUAUAUAUCAUGCAAAAAAGAAGCAAAAAAUAUCACUAAGAAUAUAAAUUAAUUUUCACAAAAUCUUAGGUGUUCAAAUAAAUUUCAAGAACAUUGAUUUAAAAAAAUCAAGAGAAUUUCCGAUAUGUUCUUUCUUUCAUUGACUGAAUGGAGUCCUGUCUUCGGGAUUCUUGUCAAACAUUUCUAAGUUAUUCCUUUAGUCGAAACAAUUAUAUUGAGCAGUAAUGCUGUAAAUAUCCUUUUCGAAUCAAAAAUAAGAAUGGUGAAGUAUUUUCUUUUAAAAUGCUAAGGGUUGUAAUCAACAUUUUAAAGAUGCAUAAAGUUCACCAUGGUUUUAUUUGGUGCUGUUGAUAUUCGGAAACCAGAGCAGAUUUAAAGAAGUUGAUUUUCAAAAUACAAAUUUAAAUAUCAAAAUUGAGGACUGAAGCAGCUUAUGUUUAAAAUUUGAAAUGAAAUCUCCCUAUUCAAAUUGCUAGCAUAUUUUGAUCAACUGGAAAUGUGUGUGGGAGAACUGAGUUUAUUCAUCAAUGUUACAUUUUGACUGCUUUUAGAAGAUUUUUAUUCACCUAAGGGGGAUAAUACACAUAAAUUCUAACUUCAGAGGAAAAUUGUAUACAUAAAACAUACAGGAGUUUAAAUUAUGACUAAGAAAUCCUAUAUUAAAUAAAAAUAUGAAACUAUUGAUUUCCCAAUGAACUGAAACUUGUACACAAGUGUCUUUUUAAAACAGUGUUAUUUCUAUCCUAGAUCAGACCAAAACGUUUUUACCACACUUUAGUCAUUUGAACUAUGAUAAAUUGAAACAAAACAAAAAGUAACUAGGGUUUAAGGCACAUUUAAUUUCAUAUGCAUAACAAGGUUAAUUUAUAAUGCUCUAUCUGGCUUAAAAGUCUCAAUAACUAAUGGUUCAUUCUACUUACAGUUCAUCAAUAUGCCUGUCUAAAUCUGAAUAGAAGUUUUCUUAAACACUUAACUUGAUUGUACCCUAUUAUCUAUAGUGACAAUUUUACCAAGAGUGGAUGUGCUUGGUUCUCAAUACAACCUUCCAAUUGAAGAUAAUGCAACUCCCUGGAGUUUUUUCAUUACAGUAUGGAAAAUAAAACCAGGUUUUAAGAGUGUUGUUACGCAUACGUAGUGGUUUAAUUAAUACAAAGCUUAGCUUGAGUUGAACAUAUUUUACACAGAAAUUUGUAUUAUUAUCAUUAAAGAUACACAUUCGUGCACAAGUUAUUUUGUAGAAAAAAUUGGCAAAUAUUUGUCCUUAAAAAAAAAUACAAUAUCAAAUAUGUGUAUUCUUCUUUUUUAUCUUUUAUAUUUCUAAAAACUUUAUAGUCUUUUGUUUAUAGUUUCAUUAAUUGAGAAAUAAUUUUUGUAAUGCCACAAUUUGUAGAAAAUAUAUAUAUAUACGAAUAAAGAAAAAUCAUAUAAAUUCACUUCAUCAAAAUAAAUAAAUAUAAAUCAUGCUAGCACUAAAAUGACUGGAGAAGUCAAAUGACUUAGACAUACUUUAAGUUAAACAUUAACAUUAGAUAUACAAUGUCAAUACAUGUAUGAUUUUGAAUGAAACUUAGUUCAGAUAUAGUUAUCUCCCAUUUCCCACAAUAAAUAACUAAAAUUUAAAGCACAUCAUACUAAAGUUAAUUUCUCCAUAAAAAAAAACACACAUUGAAAUCUGAAUGGAGAAUGCAAUUAAGAAUUGAAUGCUUCUUUUUGUAAAUUCAUUGGGGUGUUGAUCGAAGUACAUUUUGUAUGAAGCCCAGAAGCUCUUCAUUUGUGUGCACAGUCAAUGCUUUUACAACCCUAUGAAAUGAUAAAAAGAAGUAUUUAAUACUAAUAAUUACAUUUUUUGGCUAGAAUCAUGAAAACACAAUUUCUAUCAAUUUUUAUUUUUAUUUACAUGUGCAAUUAAUUUUGGGAGAUCGUGUCAUCAUGAUUGUUACUUUUCAUUCAGUUAUGAAUGUUAAUUUCAGAGGACACAAGAUUGCUGUUAGCCAAUCAAAAUAAUGCUUCAUAUGUAAUGUAAAUAUUUAAACAUAAAGCUGUGUUGAAAAAUUCCAAUGACAAUCCCAGCUAUAAAAAGUUUUUUUUAUGGAGAAAGUAAUUUUAGUCUGAUGUGUAUUAAAUUUCUAUUUGUAGCAAUUUUUUUUAAUUCUCUAGAUCUGACUACAAAAUCCCUUAAAUUUUUUGACUAUGACAAAAACAUGUACUACGAAACCAAAAUUCACAGAAAACUUUUCCUGAUUCAGAAAAAGUAAAAUUUAGAAAUUAUUAAUAAGACACAAUGUUUCAUCAAUAGACCUGGCAUUUUUUAUUUCCUAUAAAAUACAACAUGUUGAUGCCAGAUACAAAGACUA